GGCUUAAUGAUAUUAAUUUUAAGUCUAUCUGCCCAAUGAUUUUAAAUUUAAUGGCUGCAGUAUAAUUGACUGUACAAAGGUAGCAUAAUCAAUUGUUUUUUAAUUAAAAACUGGAAUGAAAGAAUUAAUGAGAUAUAUACUGUCUCAUAUAUAUAUAAUUAAUUUAAAUUUUUAGUAAAAAUGCUAAAAUAAAUUUAUGGGACGAUAAGACCCUAUAGAAUUUUAUAUUAAUAUUUAAAUUAAAUUAUUUUAAAUAUUAAUAUUUAAUUGGGAGGAUUAAUAAAUUUAUAAAACUUUAUUUUAAAUGAAAACUUUAAUUAAAGAAUUUAUAAUGAUUAUGUAUUAUGAAUUAUAAGAAUAAAUUACCUUAGGGAUAACAGCGUAAUAUCUUUUUAAAGAUCAAAUUGAUAAAGAUGAUUGCGACCUCGAUGUUGAAUUAAGAUAAAUUUUAAAUGUAGAAGUUUAAUAAUUAAGUCUGUUCGACUUUUAAAAUCUUACAUGAUUUGAGUUCAAAUCGACGUGAGU
rnacentral:rRNA from 1 species